rnacentral:rRNA from 1 species
AAUAUUGGACAAUGGGGGCAACCCUGAUCCAGCCAUGCCGCGUGUGUGAAGAAGGUCUUCGGAUUGUAAAGCACUUCAAGUUGGGAGGAAGGGCUUUAGGUUAAUACCCUGAAGUUUUGACGUUACCAACAGAAUAAGCACCGGCUAACUCUGUGCCAGCAGCCGCGGUAAUACAGAGGGUGCAAGCGUUUAUCGGGAUUACUGGGCGUAAAGCGCGCGUAGGUGGUUCAGUAAGAUGGGUGUGAAAUCCCCGGGGUUAAACUGGGAACUGCUUUCAUAACCGCUGAGCUAAAGUACGGUAGAGGGUAGUGGAAUUUCCUGUGUAGCGGUGAAAUUCGUAGAUAUAGGAAAGGACACCAGUGGCGAAGGCGACUAACUGGACUGAUACUGGCACUGAGGUGCGAAAGCGUGGGGAGCAAAC